UGUGCUGGGCCUUUCCGCCAUCACCGUAUCCCAGUGCGACUUUUUCGCCACGCCGCAGUCCCGAGGAGUCCGCGCAGGUGUGUUUGUGGGCUUGGGGCUGAGCGGCGUGGUGCCCACCCUGCACUUUGUCAUCAGCGAGGGUCUCAUCAGGGCCACCACCAUCGGACAGAUAGGCCUUUCCUCAGGGCCUGCCUCUCCUUCGCUCCGUUUCGGUUGUGUUUACCGAACGACGUAAGGCAAGAGCAAGCACGGAAAUACAGGAGACAUUAAAAUUUAUU